AUACGGAGGUUGCAAGCGUUACUCGGAAUCACUGGGCGUAAAGCGCGCGCAGGCGGUCUUUUAAGUUGGAUGUGAAAGCCUACGGCUCAACCGUAGAACUGCAUCCAAAACUAUUAGACUAGAGUGUGGGAGAGGAAGAUGGAAUUAGUUGUGUAGGGGUAAAAUCCGUAGAGAUAACUAGGAAUACCAAAAGCGAAGGCAAUCUUCUGGAACACUACUGACGCUGAGGCGCGAAAGCGUGGGGAGCAAACAGGAUUAGAAACCCCAGUAGUCC
rnacentral:rRNA from 1 species